rnacentral:lncRNA from 1 species
CUUCUCCGGGCAGAUAUGAAAAGAACACGCCGAAUCGAGCACCCACGCAUCAUUUGAAAUUUUUGCAUCUCCGGUCGCCGCAUACAGCACAUCAAAAUCGAUCGUCUCUAACUCUGCCGCUUGUGCCGUCGCUGAUACAAUCUCAUCCUGGUUCAUGACAGUUUUCUUCUUAUGUCACUCUAAUUCCUUCAGAUCAUUUUGAAGUUUUCGACAAUUGCGCUUGAUAUGCCAUUUCCUAUGACAGUAAAAGCACUCCACCUCGAAUAGCCGCUUCUUCUGUCGAUCUCCAGUCGUUGAUAUUGUCGCCUCGUUCUUCACUCUCACCACCAGAGUAGUAUCACGGCUCUAUGUGCCGGGCUCCUGAGUUAUCUUUCGUAUUUCGCUUGAGAGAAGCGCUGCCAUGACCUCCUCUGUGACACCCAAUAGUCCCACAUCGGAUGGGAACGGGAUAAUGCUUGGGUUUAUAAGAGACUUGGGCCACUAGUAAUAAUAACUGGGCUAGAGCAUUUUGGGUUGUUGAUUAGACCCAACGAAUUAUUAUUGCUAGUGGGCCGUAUCGUUACAUUUGGUAUCAAAGCCAGUUCACCAGCUGGAAGUGUGAGAUGAGUCUCGACUCAGCCAAGGUCGGAAUAACAGACUAAACCAGGGUCGGUGAAUGACAGUUAAGUCAAAGUCGGAAUGACAAAGACUAGCGAAACAAGUCUUAUAUCGCUUGGUGAUCUUGAGCUAGAUACGUGUUUAGAGCUGACGAGGACGUUAGGGCCUAAAUGGGGGGAGUCUGUGACACCUAAUAGUUCCACAUCGGAUGGGAACGGGAUAAUGCUUGGGUUUAUAAGAGACUUGGGCCACUAGUAGUAAUAACUGGGCUUAAACAUUUUGGGUUGUUAGAUAGACCAAACGAGUUAUUACUGCUAGUGGGCCGGGUCGUUACAGCCUCCACGCUUAUGGCCUCUUUGCCAUAAAGCAACGUGAUCACCCGUACUUUAAUCUGCCACAAUUCGAAAUUGUUCUUGCCGUCGAACUUCUCGAUUUCGAAUUUUGUGGCCCUCUCCGUCGAUCUCUCUCGCAUAACGGUAACCUUCGGCUCUGAUACCAAUUGUUGGGAAUCCGGAACUCGCCUCGGUACCGAAUUUUGAGAAUCCGCAACUUGCUCCGAUACCGACUGUUGUUGAUUCGGUACCAAUUGUUGGGAUUCCGCAACGGAAGCGUCGAAUUCGAUUUUUUACCAUAAAUCCAUCUCCUCAGCAAAAGCUGAUACAAUCAUAAAAAAGAGAAAAAUUAAAACUAAAAAUAUGUGGAUAAAAUAAGAUUCAUUAAAUAAGAGAAGAUUACACCUGACUCAUAUUCUGCAAUAGAAUAGCUACAAUCUGCACCCUUAUUUUGAAUCUCUCCUACCCUUCUCUCGUCUUCUAUAAAUCCAUAAGAAGACAACUCUCUCUUUUUCUCUCUCACAUGCACCCUGCACUAGGUGCAUGCAACCAUUACUUUUUCUCUCCUAGCAAGGCUUCAAUCAAGAAGGCACUCUCUCUCACUAUACUCUCUACAAAAAAAAGCAUCCCAAAUAGUGCUUUUAUAAUGCAUCCUUUAAAACGUACGCGAAUUCUAGUCCAAUUAGAAUUCCUACUCCAAUUAAUAUUUAAAUAUAUAUUUUUUUUUAUCUCCAAUGGAUUUAAAUAUUUAUCCUAAUCUAGUUAGAUUCAUGCUCCAAUUAAUAUUUAAAUCUUAAUUUAUCUCCAAUAGAUUUAAAUAUUAAUCAUUAUCCAAGUAGAAUUAAUUUACAAAUAUAACUAAAUCCUAACAUCUCCACCUUAUUUCCUAACACAAUUUUUAAAUAAAUAACAAUAUAAGCAACAUGCCGCAUCUUCUUUUAUACUAUAUUCUA